rnacentral:rRNA from 1 species
UACGGAGGGUGCAAGCGUUAUCCGGAUUCACUGGGUUUAAAGCGUGCGUAGGCGGUUUGCCGUGUCCUGUGUGAAAGCCCCGGGCUCAACCUGGGAAUUGCAUGGGAAACUGGCAGGCUUGAGUGUGGCAGAGGAGGGUGGAAUUCCGCGUGUAGCAGUGAAAUGCGUAGAGAUGCGGAGGAACACCGAUGGCGAAGGCAGCCCUCUGGGCCAACACUGACGCUCAGGCACGAAAGCGUGGGGAGCAAACAGG